rnacentral:lncRNA from 1 species
AUGAUCAAUGUUUGUGUCGAAAAAAGUAUGAAAGUUUAAAGUUGGACAAAAUGUUAGACCCAAAUAAAGUUCAAGUACUUCAGUACUUAAGAACAGUGUUUCUCACCUGUGUGUCUCACACAUGGCCUCAGGCCUCCAGAUGAAGCGGCCAUCUUUGUAGGAGCAGACAGAGUUUGGGUCGUCAGUCAGCAGAGGACGAUCUGACAACUGCUCCUGAUUGGCUGGGCUGUGGACCAGUAUAACAUACAUCACUUCCUGUUUGUACUGGACGGUCUCGUACACCCGCAUGAUGGGCUGAGUGCCGGAGCAACACUGUAACAAUAAAAGAAAUGUAUCACAAAUUCAUUCAUCAAGGUUCCUGUUAAUGUCCCGACAACAACGACAGACAACAUCGACUCUCCUUCUUUCUCUUUAAAGAAGCACUACGUAGUUUUAGAAAAGAAACUGAGAGUUCUGAUAUUUACAAUGUGAAUGAGGUAACAAUACAAACUUUUGUCCAUAAGUGAAUCAACAAGCUGUUCUCAUUUCUUCAACUAAACUACGGACUGCUCCUUUCAGUAAUCUGCUACCUGCUGGCUGUAGGCCUCCAGCACCUCCUCCAGGGGGAAGGUGAAGCGGUACGAGCCCAGCCUGGAGAGCUUGGAGAAGGCCGGGGAGGUGGCAAACUUCCCCAGGAAGCUCUGCUGCAUCUGGACCUGCUCCUGCGACCGGUCGGGGUAGGUCGUCUCCAGGAGCCUCGUCUCAGCUGAUGUGAUGUCAUCAGGCGUCACAGCCAGACUCCACCACACCAGAGAGCCUCCACGUGGGUUCUUGAAGCCAUCGUUCCAUCUGAUGCCACGUAAUCCAUAUUGCUUUGUGUCGUGUUUCAGAUGAGUCACAUGAAACUCUGGUCGGGGGUAUAAUGGGAUGUUUUCUUUGAGGAGAUAUUGGUUCCUCAAACCCCUUGCUUCCUCUUUCAAAUCUGUCAGCUUCAAGUGCCGACCUUCCCAGUAACGUUCCUCAUAUCCUCUGCUGUUUGUCCGUGUCUUCAUGGUCCUUUAUGUUAAAAUAAUUCUGCAAUAAUUUAGAACAUGGAGGAAGGAGAUCGGAGUCAGCUCAAGGUUCAAACAAGGUUUAAAUCUUGUACAAGAGGAGCAUUCACAGAGCAACAUGCAGGUCUGUUACAAAGUG